rnacentral:rRNA from 1 species
AUUGAACGCUGGCGGCAGGCCUAACACAUGCAAGUCGAACGGUAGCACAGAGGAGCUUGCUCCUUGGGUGACGAGUGGCGGACGGGUGAGUAAUGUCUGGGAAACUGCCCGAUGGAGGGGGAUAACUACUGGAAACGGUAGCCAAUACCGCAUAACGUCUUCGGACCAAAGUGGGGGACCUUCGGGCCUCACACCAUCGGAUGUGCCCAGAUGGGAUUAGCUAGUAGGUGGGGUAAUGGCUCACCUAGGCGACGAUCCCUAGAUGGUCUGAAAGAAUGACCAGCCACACUGGAACUGAGACACGGUCCAGACUCCUACGGGAGGCAGCAGUGGGGAAUAUUGCACAAUGGGCGCAAGCCUGAUGCAGCCAUGCCGCGUGUAUGAAGAAGGCCUUCGGGUUGUAAAGUACUUUCAGCGGGGAGGAAGGCGUUAAGGUUAAUAACCUUGGCGAUUGACGUUACCCGCAGAAGAAGCACCGGCUAACUCCGUGCCAGCAGCCGCAGUAACAC